AGCACUCCAUGCUCUCUCCAUCCCCAUACGCAACCUCUCGUCUUCUCGUUUCCCCUCUGCCUCACCGCCGCCGCCACUGCUUCCUCUUCACCCCCUGCAUCCUCUCCCCUCCGCUGGUGCGGAUGCUAGCCAUACCGCGCGGCACACGGAAAACGGCGGCGAUGACAGAUCUCUCCGUCUCGCAGGGCCAGGCCUCCCGUCUGCGCCGCGCCGGCGCCGGCAUGGAGGCCCGGGCUCGGACAGCCUCCACAAUGUUGGGUGCGCCGGCGAGGUGUCUUCUGCAGCGGCUGGCGGGCGUGUCAGUUCACUACUCAUCUCGUCCAUCUCCAAGCCUCCAAUAUGGUAAGUCCUCAAUUCCUCUUCCUCGGUUCCUCACAUUGUCAAUCUUUCGUGGUUUGAUUGAGUUUCAAAAAGGAAAAGUCUUGUUUUGAUUGAGGUUCAAAAUGAAGUAGAAAAAGCUUGGUUCAGUUUUGGUUGUCAUGGAUCCUUACCUGUAUUCAUGGGCGGAUCUAACUUAAAUGCAUGUUUCUCUCUCUUUUUUUUUUACAGUAGCAGGCUAGCAAGAUAUCUUUAUUAGGAUCAGUGCCUAUGGAGUAUGCACUAUGGAUGUUUAAAUUUGAUUGCCGCUGGGUGCUGUAGCAUGUACUGAAGUCUGAACUGUUGUUCUUAUGUGUUUUGGGUAAUUUGGGUGACGAAUUUGAUGCUUAGGUUAAAUGUUUGUGGGUUUCUUGGGGGAAAAAAUAGUGGUAGUUAAUUUAUUGGCAUCGGUCAGCAGUUUGCACUGCUGGUUUAGGAUCUGCAUCGUUAAGGUCUUUAGUUAAUUGCUCUGCUAUCUGCAAUCUUCAAAAGCAAAAUGAAGCCUGGAGCAUAACAGAGGAAACUAGAUAAAAAAAACAGUACCGCAGGAGCAAAACGGUACAGCGGAUGAUGCCAGCGUGAAUGACGAUUAACUUCUCUGACCUUGUGGUAGGCUGAAUCUGAAUCACAUUAAUGGGUGACCUUUCUCGUAAUCCUUUUUCUGAAAGCAUUAAACAAUGGCUUAGACUGGCAUUUUGGUAGUUGUGUAAGCUGAAACAUGAAGCUAAGCUGAACAAUUUACUGUCCUUUUUUCGCAUGAGAUCACAUUUUGGUAGUUGCAAAGCCUAAACCAUGAUGCUUUUUGCUGCUUCUGUAGUCUCUAAGGAAGUUGUAAGAUUAUAUACUUAAGCUAAGUUUCUUCUGCUUCAAUAAAACACAGGUUGGUAGUUGCAUAACUUGAACUAUGAUGCUUUCUUGCUGCUGUUGUCGUCUCUAAUGGAAUUGCGAGAUAAUUUAGUUAAUCUCAAUGGUCUGCACUCUAAAUAAAUCAUAAGAGCCAUUCAGAAGAAGAUAGGGUACUAUUAUACAUUGGCCAUGUAAUGUACAUAUUAAGACAACAGACAAAAUUUAAUUGUGAUACUUCAGAUUUGCAGAGUUUUUUGUUGUUGAAAUUUCGUCCAGGUCAUCCUCCUCUCUGGUUUUGCUGAUUCCGACGGCAUCUGCUUGACCUACAGGAUAUCUGUGACAUUUGUUCGCAUUGGGUGUCAAUGCUGGCGACGAAAAGAUUAUUAAUGCUCUUAUUGGGGUGUCAGUGUUGGAAGCUGCUCAUGAGAAAUAUAACUUGAAGGUCCUCUGCAGUGCUACUUUUUUAUUUACUGAUUUUGGUUUUAGUUAAGAACAAUAGGCAGUGAUUCCAUGCUUGUACUUGACCUCAUGUGCUUCCUUUGACUUGAUAUCUCCUUUUUUAACUGUGAGAGUAAUUAGUCGCAUCAUAUAUCACAAGGAAUUCUACUAACCAUGUAAAAGGCUUAAUGACAAAUUGAGUACAGAUCUAUCUGAAUUUUUUUGUACACUGAAGCAGUUUCUAAGGUUUCAUCUUCACCAUCAUCAGUCAUAUCAAAGACAGGUUUCCUGACAACUAGAUACUUUAACUUUUAUAGAUUAUAUCAUGGCCUCAGUGAAAACUUUAAUAAUUAUAUCUUUUAGUCAUGUGUAAUUUUGUCCUUCUUUCAUCUGCUUGGCUGAAAAUCAUUUGUAGUUGUGUAAACUGCUUGAUUUUAUCCUCUUUCUUGCGAAAAAUGGUUUGCUUGCAGAAUAUGCCCAUUAUUAAGAUAAUGUCUUAUGUUGAUAGGUAAGUUCAAAAUUGGGUAGAGAUAUAUCAUUGCUACCUUUCCCUCCUUGUACACCUCCUUUGAUUUUGCAUCCUGUUAAAAAUUUUGGUCAAAUUUUGUAGCAUGUUGACUUAAUACAGUACAAGACAUACUUACCUAAAAUUUGAUACACAUGAGCUAAUUGUGUGACCUUUUCCCUAACAUUUUGACAGAGGAGCUAAUUCUGUAGCAUGAUCUACGAUUUCUGCUUCAACGCUCAACUUAUCAAGUCAACAAAUGUUCACUUUCAGGUAUAUGUCUAUUCAAUGUCGCGCCUCUUUUCCCCUGUUCCAAAAGUUUGCUUGAUCGCGCCCACGCCAUGGCCGUCGUGCUCCUUUUUGCUCUGCCUGUCAACCAGAUCGGCCGAUGAGGCAGUGGACCAUGGAGAGAGGCCAUCCAUGGUGCGCGCAUCCCCCACACUCGCUCGUCUUUUCCUCCUCGGCUCCGCGGACGCCGGGUGCUCGGGCAUGGCCGCCGCCAUGCCCUGCUCCUGCUGACCUUCAUCAAAAGCGGAUAACUGAGGGCUCUUCUGUUAUCAAGCUGCUUCUUUUUUGUGCCAACAGUUGCAAGUUAACUUAUUAAUAGUUGGAUACGGGCAUAUCUCAGAUUUUGAGAUUGGACAAAAUACUGAAUAAAAUGGUAACUAGAGGAAAACAAUUGCUCCUGAUACAUCAUAUCUGUAUGAUAUUGUUGCUAUAAGUCUCGGGAGGCGCGCACACCGAGGCCUGCACACUACAGAAACAUUAUAGUCAUUUAGUUUUCUUUCUUCGAAGUGCUAUUUCUCUGUUUCUUUCCUAAUAGUGGAACAAAAUUACCGUUUCUUGGGCGUCAUGUCACAAGGAGGACGUCGGGCUGCCCAUUUUAGCGCACCAUGCCACAAGUUCCAGAAUAUUAUUUUGUCUCCUAAUUAAUGAUUUUGCGACUACUUUCAUUUAACAAGGCUUAUGUGUGCAUAAGUUUGUUACUGAAUCUGGGAGAUGUAGCUAAAUAUAGAAUAAAAUGUGCUUCUUUGCAUUAGGCAGAUGGAACUGUUCAGUUUAUACUUGUUGUUAAUCUUCUGUGUAUUGUGUAUAUAUGGUGCAUUCCUUAUUUGGUUUGCACACCACAGAGUAAACUGAAAUAAGGUAACUUGCAUUUUGUCAAGGAGGUUUGGUUCUAUUUUUUUUCUAUGAAAAAAUUAGUUCUCGACUUCUAUGCCAUCUUUCGUUGUUACAGGUAUGAAGCCUUGUUUUACUAUCCUCGGGAUAAACAUGUUUCAGAUACUAAACAAGGGAACAUCCGUGCCCUUUUGUGAUGUUAACCAUGUUAACCAUCUUACGCCAGGGCCGACGAGGAAGAGGACCGGCGGAGUGGGGUUCGACAAGGUGGCGGUGGUUACUUUGUAUAUCCUGUUGGUUUGUGGUUAUGUAAUUCCUAUAGCUGUAACUUUUGCGCAUUCAUAAGGCCUUUAUAGAAUGCUAAAAGCUUCAGACCUUUGCAUCAACCAAAGCUUACUCUUAGAAACUUGGUUUAAGUUAAAUUUGCUCCAAGUAAUUAAGGAUAUUAGGCCUCUGCAAGAAAAGUAAGAAUCUGAAUCCGUAAGUAAUUAUAACCACUCAAGUGUGAUAUUCUUGUGUUGCUUAAAUUUCCAGUUAAGAUAUCUUUUUGAUAUAGAUUGCCGGGUUCCGUUCUCACAUAAAACUCCCAGUUUUGUGAUCAGCAUGUACCUGUAUAUGAUGUUUCUGCUAGAAGCUCUGCUUACUUUGAUGUACAUCUCUUUUUCUGAAAAAGUCACUAACAAUUUGUUUGGCUGAAUAUCUUAUGUCAACUGGAUUCCAUCUCUAUUUCUGUAAAUCUCUUUCCUGAAAAGGUCAGUGAAAAGGUGGUGUGAAGUGAGGGGAUGUAGAGAUGGAUGAGGACGUUGGCAGGAAGUAGUUGCAGCUCGACGGCCGGAAGCAGCAGCUCGCCCUCUGCUAGGUCUUCACCUCCGCCCUUAGUCUACCUUUAGCAGCGGCCAGUUAUACUCAGCUUCGUUGCUCCCACUCCUGUUCCUCGCUCUUUCUUAUAUAGGUUUCCAUUUAAUGGCAGCUCUCUCUCCUUUUUCCAUCUCUCUGUUUUGUAGAUAGCAGAGCAACCUAUCAUAUAUACACACUGAAAUUGAUCUGUUGUAAGCUUAUUCAGAUUUUAUUUCUUUCUUAUUGAUUCAUCAAGGAAUGGUUGUAAUGAAUAUUUUAUA